AAGACAGUCCGGCGUUCUCUGCUUCCCAGGUUUUAAGCUGGAGAGCGAAGAGAGAGUCUUCAUCAUCUCUAGGGUUAGGGCUUUUUAUAAAUCCAUCACCAAUUUCUCAAUUCGGCUCAACAAAUAAUGUCUUUCUGGGGUGUUGAAAUCAAACCAGCAAAACCCUUCACUCUUCCACAAGGAAAGAUUCAAAUUACUCAGAUGACGACGAGAAACCUGCAAAUAGGAAAGGCAACCGCAGAUAUCUUGAGAACUCAGAUGUUGAUGAUGAAGAGUUUGUUAUUAAGGAUCAGGCUCGUUGCAAGGCUCCUGAGAAUGAAGACGAAGAUACUGUUUCAAUUUCUUAUAUAAUCAACAAAAAAGGCACCACUGACAGCAAAGAAGAAGCUAAUUGUAAUUUUAAAAUACAACUAGCUAAGGAAAGCGCAGUGAUCCUGGCAGAUGACAAAAAUUGAUACAGGAGAUGAAUGUCCAAGUUAGCAUAGCAGAACAGUGAGAAACUUCUUAUGCAUUUUCUCGGUUCAUAGAAAACAAAAACAUCGCAAUAGAAAUGAUAGACCUCCAUGAAAGUUUCCUCAAGUAUUAGCACUGUAGUGGCAUAAAAAGACCUUCUCCAUUUUCCUUUUUGUAUCUCAUUUUGUUUGUAAAAUCAGGAUAUCUGAACCACAAAAGAGUCCUCCACGCCAUCUACCGGUAUUGCGCAAGAAACUAAUGUCAAGGCAAAGAAGAAAAGGAAAAGGAGUCGUGGUGAAGAUGGGGAUGCAAAGGCUGAACACAUGGAUAUCGAAGAGCAACUUACUGCCAAGUAAUGGGUCCAUACCGCUUCGGCAAAUCAUUUAUGCUUAGUCAACUUCUCUCCCUUUCAUGUAAUGAAGGUUCCCCUGUUGCUGCAAUUAUUAAAACUUUCUGCCAUGGUUUUGGCGUUGGACAUAUAAGCAGUAUCGAAUCAAAAGGGUCAAGAUAUAGCAUUUGGGCUUUUGUGGCUCAUCCAACACGGUAAGAUCACUAAUAUGUUAAAACUUUGGAAGAACACAACUCCAAUCCUAAGUGAGGUAAUUUCCUAAGAUUCGGGUUAACAACUCUUUGAGAAUCUAUUUAGAUUAGAGAAAAAUGACCAAUAGAUAUAUAAUCAUGUAAAGGACAAACCUUGUUCGAUACCCUCAUCAUUCUUAAUUAACUUCAUUGAAUUAUUUACAUCAAGUAUAUAGUGGUCCUAUAUCAAAAUUUUAACUUCUUCUUCAACCGGAAUCUCAACAUCAUUAUACUCAUUGGCAAUCCUAAUUGGGUCUUCCACGAAAUCAAUCAAUUUGGUUUUUUUCUCAAUCACCACCUCUUCCACAAUAUCGUCAUCGAAAUCAGAAUCCUCCCCCAAUUGUUCUCGCUGAAGGAGUUUUUCUCGAGCAAUAGAAGCAUUUUGUUGAGAGUUAAUCCUUGCUUCAGAUUCUACGAGUUUUUCUUUCAACAAAUAGAAAUUUUGACAAAAAUUUUCACAUUCAAGAUUCUUUGAAAGUACAUCUCAUUCACAAUCUUUAAGAAAUGAUUGAAUAAGUUGAUAACCACAAUCAUAACCUUUAAAUACCUUUCUCAAUUUCUUGUUUUCUCGACAGAGAGGUGUCAGAAAUCCAAUCAGAAUAGAAGUCAUCAUCUUUGUCUUUUUACGAUGAUCAAACAUCUUGGCAUACUCUGAUACUUCCCCGUUUACGUAUCUAUCAAUAUCUGAGUCACUAUCAUCGGAAAGUUCCUCCAACUGUUUUUCUAGGCGUAUUUCCCAGUUAUCAACAGUUUCUACAUCACACGAGGUGAUUUCAUGAAGGUUUUCAGAUAAUGAUUCGGAUGCGACAUCACUACCUCCAACUGUUUUUCUAGGCGUGUUUCACAGUUUCUACAUCGCUACCUGCCACUGAGAUUGAUAGAAACCCGGUGUAGUCCAAGACUCCAAGGCUCAAUUACCAUUAAAGCUUGAUGAAUUUCCUCAUUUGUUGGUGUAGCAAUUAGUUCAUUAUUUUUUUUUCAAGAAAUGCAGGUGGGGAUAUGUCAGAGAAAUAAUAAUUAUCAGCUGGUUGAGAAGAAAAACUGAUUUUCUUAAAUGAGAGAUGAUUAGGGCUUCAAUUGCAUAUUUAGUUUGGAACCAUGAACCAUCUGGAGCUUGCAAGGCUUCAAUUAUGUUUCUUAUUAUUCUUUGAUUUGCUCUAUAUUUGGAGUUCUUGUUCAUAGCAUUAUAAAAAUGAUCCGUAGCUUUUUGCCUGUUUGAACUAGCUUGAAUCUCAUUUAAUUUAUCAAUCUCCUUUUCAGUUUGAAGGACUUCAGAAGUAUUGUUACCAUUUACAUCAGUCGCUUGAAGAUUAGAUAAUUUUUGUUGAAGAUCAAUGAUUCUUGAUUGAAUGUGUUCAUAAGUAUUUUUGCUCCAAUGUCAUAAGAAAUGUCUUGUAUUUGACAGUUUGUCAGAGAAAAAACAAGCUUCAGAGCCAGAGACAUUAGAA